rnacentral:rRNA from 1 species
AUUGAACGCUGGCGGAAUGCUUUACACAUGCAAGUCGAGCGGCAGCGCGGGGGCAACCCUGGCGGCGAGCGGCGAACGGGUGAGUAACAUAUCGGAACGUACCCAGUCGUGGGGGAUAACUAUCCGAAAGGAUAGCUAAUACCGCAUACGUCCUGAGGGAGAAAGCGGGGGAUCGCAAGACCUCGCGCGAUUGGAGCGGCCGAUAUCGGAUUAGCUAGUUGGUGGGGUAAAGGCUCACCAAGGCGACGAUCCGUAGCGGGUCUGAGAGGACGACCCGCCACACUGGAACUGAGACACGGUCCAGACUCCUACGGGAGGCAGCAGUGGGGAAUUUUGGACAAUGGGGGCAACCCUGAUCCAGCCAUUCCGCGUGUGUGAAGAAGGCCUCGGUUGUAAGACGACUUAAGUACGAGGAGGAAGGUUUU